GAUGAAGAACGUAGCGAAAUGCGAUACUUGGUGUGAAUUGCAGAAUCCCGUGAACCAUCGAGUCUUUGAACGCAAGUUGCGCCUCAAGCCAUUAGGUUGAGGGCACGUCUGCCUGGGCGUCACAUAUCGUUGCCUGAUGCCAGUUUCCUCGUGAUGGGUGACUGUUCAGGGCGAAUGAUGGCUUCCCGUGAGCAUUGUUGCCUCAUGGUUGGUUGAAAAUUGAGUCCUUGGUAGGGAGCGCCGUGAUAGAUGGUGGUUGAGUGACGAACGAGACCCAAUCAUGUGAGACCCCUACCGAAUUUGGCCUUCAUGACCCACAUGCGUCUUUGGAACGCUCAUGACGAGACCUCAGGUCAGGCGGGGCUACCCGCUGAGUUUAAGCAUAUCAAUAAGCGGAGGA
rnacentral:misc_RNA from 1 species